rnacentral:rRNA from 1 species
GACGAACGCUGGCGGCGUGCUUAACACAUGCAAGUCGAACGGAAAGGCCUGCUUUUGUGGGGUGCUCGAGUGGCGAACGGGUGAGUAACACGUGAGUAACCUGCCCUUGACUUUGGGAUAACUUUAGGAAACUGGGGCUAAUACCGGAUAGGAGCUCCUGCUGCAUGGUGGGGGUUGGAAAGUUUCGGCGGUUGGGGAUGGACUCGCGGCUUAUCAGCUUGUUGGUGGGGUAGUGGCUUACCAAGGCUUUGACGGGUAGCCGGCCUGAGAGGGUGACCGGCCACAUUGGGACUGAGAUACGGCCCAGACUCCUACGGGAGGCAGCAGUGGGGAAUAUUGCACAAUGGGCGGAAGCCUGAUGCAGCAACGCCGCGUGCGGGAUGACGGCCUUCGGGUUGUAAACCGCUUUCGCCUGUGACGAAGCGUGAGUGACGGUAAUGGGUAAAGAAGCACCGGCUAACUACGUG